rnacentral:tRNA from 1 species
GAGGGUAGAGCUCAGUGGUAGAGUGCAUGCCUAGCAUGCAUGAGGUUCUGGGUUUGAUCCCCAGUACCUCCA